GUGAAAUGAUGAUUCAGUUUAUCCAUUCGCUGAGUGCGCUGCCCUGACCUCCUUCCAAGCCUCGGCUCCUGUUCUGGGAUCUCUGGGCUCUGUAGCCCCCAAGUGCCCCGCAGUCCACGGUGUUCUGCUGUGGACAGCGUGUGUGUUGGGGACUACCGGUAAGAGUGGUUGGUGUCAGCAGGGAUGGGUCCCUGUGGGCCUCAUCUCACCAAGAUGAGUGGUGGAAUCUGAUCAC
ensembl:snoRNA SNORD17 small nucleolar RNA, C/D box 17